GCGGGAGUGGCCUAGUGGUUAAGGCGCUGCUUUCCCACCUAUCCACACGGAAUCAAGCAGAAACCGCGAGGUAAGUCAUACCUUCCUACUUGAGAAGGACCAGGCAGUUACUAAUACGGACACAGUUCGAAUCUUGCCUCCCGCA